rnacentral:rRNA from 1 species
UUGUGGUUAAAAAGCUCGUAGUUGGAUCUCGGCGGACUGAGGGCGGUUUGCUUGCUAGUAUUACUGCCCUAUAGUCCGUAGUUUUGCCAGAGGUUUCGGGGUGCUCUUAAUCGAGUGUCCCGGGAUGCUGGCAGGUUUACUUUGAAAAAAUUAGAGUGCUCAAAGCAGGCUAUUACGCCUGAAUAUUCGUGCAUGGAAUAAUAGAAUAGGAAGUUGUUUCUAUUUUGUUGGUUUUCGGAAAUCGACUUAAUGAUUAAUAGGGACAGUCGGGGGCAUUUGUAUUCAAACGACAGAGGUGAAAUUCUUGGACCGUUUGAAGACAAACUACUGCGAAAGCAUUUGCCAAGAAUGUUUUCAUUAAUCAAGAACGAAAGUUAGAGGUUCGAAGGCGAUUAGAUACCGCCCUAGUUCUAACCAUAAACGAUGCCAGCUAGCGAUCUGAGGACGUUUUUUUUGUAGACUCCUCAGGAAGCUUCCGGGAAACCAAAGCGUGUGGGUUCCGGGGGAAGUAUGGUUGCAAAGCUGAAACUUAAAGGAAUUGACGGAAGGGCACCACCAGGAGUGGAGCCUGCGGCUUAAUUUGACUCAACACGGGAAAUCUCACCAGGCCCGGACACUGGAAAGAUUGACAGAUUGAUAGCUCUUUCUCGAUUCGGUGGGUGGUGGUGCAU